UGGGGAAUAUUGGACAAUGGGGGCAACCCUGAUCCAGCAAUGCCGCGUGUGUGAAGAAGGUCUUCGGAUUGUAAAGCACUUUCGACGGGGACGAUGAUGACGGUACCCGUAGAAGAAGCCCCGGCUAACUUCGUGCCAGCAGCCGCGGUAAUACGAAGGGGGCUAGCGUUGCUCGGAAUGACUGGGCGUAAAGGGCGUGUAGGCGGUUUACACAGUCAGAUGUGAAAUCCCCGGGCUUAACCUGGGAGCUGCAUUUGAUACGUGUAGACUAGAGUGUGAGAGAGGGUUGUGGAAUUCCCAGUGUAGAGGUGAAAUUCGUAGAUAUUGG
rnacentral:rRNA from 1 species